rfam:[Clostridium] sordellii strain JGS6382 genome assembly, chromosome: 1
AAUAAAGCUAAGAAGGAAAAUAGUAAAAAGCAAGUUUGUAUUCAGAGAGUGAGUGGUUGGUGUGAACUCAUUACAAUGGUUUUUGAAUCCAUUCCCGAGCUACUAGUCGGAAAUAAUAGUAAGAUUAGUCGUAUACCUACGUUACAGGAUUUAAGAGGCUUAUAUUUUAUAUAAAUAUAAGCAACUAGGGUGGCAACGCGGAUAACAAGACUUUCGUCCCUUUU